UGCUGCGGAAGGGGGGUUUUCAAACGAUGACAGCACAAUGCCACGGCGCCACGACAGAGGCUCCCCUCGCUCUCUCGGGAGAAAUAACUGGAAGCAUGAGGACAGGCUUCGCCGCGGCAAGACGCGUUUGGGUUGAGCGUUAAAGAUGUCCGAAAUGGUUAGCGAAAGAAAGAGACAGAGGGCAUCUCAGAAGGGGAAACACUGUGCGAAGAUUGCCGCGGAGAUGAAAUGAGAUGCGUGAGAAGCGGCUGAACUGCGCGAAGUCGCGCUCGGCCUUGCUGGGGGCCCUUCCCACCGAGAGUCGGGGACCUGAGGAGGCGCCCCAACCAGGGCAUCCUCCCCGUCACCUCUCGCGCGCCGAGGCUGCGCGCUCCAGACAGGAUGAUAACGGUAAGGCCCAGACCCGGGAAGGGUCUCCAUAUCACACAGCCACUUGGAAACAGAGCCCAACUCUAGUCUCCAGACUCCUCCUCCAGCGCUCCGUGAACACACUUUACUGCUCCCUUGGAAUAACCACAGUGAUACUUGGAAAAAUAAUCACGAAUGAUGGGCUGAGUUCAUUACUGUUUACAAAAUGCCACAAUACGCAUUAUUUCAAUGGGUCCGAAUGAGUCACUGAGGCUCAGAGGUAUGGGGAUUUGCCCUAGGUCACACCCUGGUUAGUGGCCACACUGGGGCAGGAGCCCAGAGCCCAGGGGUGCCGUCCCCAGAGGCUGUGCAGGGUCUUCCAGCCCACCCUCUUGGAGUGACUGGAGUCAUACUUCUUUAAAUGCAUGUGAUUCUUGCCUACACUGUUGUUCACGCUGCUUGCCUAAAAGUGAGCAUUUAUCCUCUAACAAGCAUUUUUGCCCAGAGAUGUUUCCUGGUGACUUCAGAAGCUGAUGGAUGGGGCUGAGCCCCUGGACCUCUUCCUCAGAAGCAUGGAAAGA
rnacentral:lncRNA from 1 species